rnacentral:lncRNA from 1 species
UCCAUAGCCAUGAUAGGUGAAUAAUGAAAAGUAGUAUCCAUAAAGUUUCACAUGGACUCGAGUCAAUUGAAUCUGACAUAUGACGGACGAACGGGCUUGAUGAGUGAUCUUUGACCUGCAUCUUAUCGAAACUCACAACAGAAGAACCGAACUACAUGAUAACUGCACUUAGAGGUUUAAUAUUUUAUUCUGCUAGAUUGUCACUACAUACUGUUAGGUGUCACCAGUGGAUCGUGAGACUUGUCGAGCAUCAUCUUGAUGAUCGAUUAUCCUUGAUGGGU